rnacentral:rRNA from 1 species
GACGAACGCUGGCGGCGUGCCUAAUACAUGCAAGUCGAACGCAGUUGGGACGGGUGAGUAACACGUGGGUAACCUCCCAUCAGAGGGGAUAACCCUUGGAAACAGAUGCUAUACCAAUACUGAUGGAUGGACCCGCGGUGCCUUAGCUAGUCGGUGAGGUAACGGCACACCAAGGCCACGAUGCAUAGCCGGCCUGAGAGGGUGAUCGGCCACACUGGGACUGAGACACGGCCCAGACUCCUACGGGAGGCAGCAGUAGGGAAGCUGCGGCAAUGGUAGAAAGUCUGACCGAGCAACGCCGCGUGAGUGAAGAAGGUUUUCGGAUCGUAAAGCUCUGUUGUUAGAGAAGCGGUAUCUAACCAGAAAGCCACGGCUAACUACGUGCCAGCAGCCGCGGUAAUAC